rnacentral:misc_RNA from 1 species
GCAAACUUGGUCAUUUAGAGGAAGUAAAAGUCGUAACAAGGUUUCCGUAGGUGAACCUGCGGAAGGAUCAUUAUCGAGCUACCGGAGUCCUAAAGGGCUCCGCUCUAGCCCACCCGUGCCGAAUGAACCUGUUGCCUUGGCCGGCCCGCCCUAUCGGGCCAUCGAGUGACGCUCUGGCUGUCGCUGGAUCCGUGCCGGCCGAGGAUGCGGGCAUCCCUUUGCCUUUGUGAAGGGGGUGACAUGCAGUGAAACUCGUUUUUUAAAGCACUAGAGUCUGAAGUCUUGAUGAAAUCAGUUAAAACUUUCAACAAUGGAUCUCUUGGUUCCGACAUCGAUGAAGAACGCAGC